rnacentral:ribozyme from 1 species
GAAAACAGGACAAUAUUAAUGAGGAGAACAGUAGUUGUAGUAGUAAUGGGUGUAAAACUAUUUCGGAUCGUAAGAAGAAAAGUAAACACCAUUUUACGACGCAUAGAAACUGCAGCUGUAGUGC